ACUGUCCACAGCUCUAUGUUCUACUGUCCACAGCUUCUGUUCUCACUGUCCACAGUUAUGUUCUACUGGUCACAGCUCUCUGUUCUACUGUCCACAGCUCUAUGUUCUACUGUCCACAGCUCUAUGUUCUACUGUCCAUGGCUCUCUGUUCUGCCACAGCUCUCUGUCUACUGUCCACAGCUCUAUGUUCUACU
rnacentral:lncRNA from 1 species